rnacentral:rRNA from 2 species
UUUAAAUUUAGAGUUUGAUCCUGGCUCAGGACGAACGCUGGCGGCGUGCUUAACACAUGCAAGUCGAGCGAUGAA